UACGUAGGCAGCAAGCGUUGUUCGGAGUUACUGGGCGUAAAGGGUCCGUAGGCGGUGUGGCAAGUCGGGAGUGAAAUCUCUGGGCUUAACUCAGAGGCUGCUUCCGAAACUGCCGUGCUAGAGUGUGAGAGAGGCGAGUGGAAUUGCGGGUGUAGCGGUGAAAUGCGUAGAUAUCUGGAGGAACAUCAGUGGCGAAGGCGGCUUCCUGGUCCAACACUGACACUGAGGUGCGAAAGCGUGGGGAGCAAACAGG
rnacentral:rRNA from 1 species